GGAUGCGAUCAUACCAGCACUAAAGCACCGGAUCCCAUCAGAACUCCGAAGUGAAGCGUGCUUGGGCGAGAGUAGUACUAGGAUGGGUGACCUCCUGGGAAGUUCUCGUGUUGCAUCCC
rnacentral:rRNA from 1 species